rnacentral:rRNA from 1 species
UGAACGCUGGCGGCGUGCCUAAUACAUGCAAGUCGAACGAGUUCUGAUUAUUGAAAGGUGCUUGCAUCUUGAUUUAAUUUUGAACGAGUGGCGGACGGGUGAGUAACACGUGGGUAACCUGCCCUUAAGUGGGGGAUAACAUUUGGAAACAGAUGCUAAUACCGCAUAAAUCCAAGAACCGCAUGGUUCUUGGCUGAAAGAUGGCGUAAGCUAUCGCUUUUGGAUGGACCCGCGGCGUAUUAGCUAGUUGGUGAGGUAACGGCUCACCAAGGCAAUGAUACGUAGCCGAACUGAGAGGUUGAUCGGCCACAUUGGGACUGAGACACGGCCCAAACUCUACGGGAGGCAGCAGUAGGGAAUCUUCCACAAUGGACGCAAGUCUGAUGGAGCAACGCCGCGUGAGUGAAGAAGGCUUUCGGGUCGUAAAACUCUGUUGUUGGAGAAGAAUGGUCGGCAGAGUAACUGUUGUCGGCGUGACGGUAUCCAACCAGAAAGCCACGGCUAACUACGUGCCAGCAGCCGCGGUAAUACGUAGGUGGCAAGCGUUAUCCGGAUUUAUUGGGCGUAAAGCGAGCGCAGGCGGUUUUUUAAGUCUGAUGUGAAAGCCCUCGGCUUAACCGAGGAAGUGCAUCGGAAACUGGGAAACUUGAGUGCAGAAGAGGACAGUGGAACUCCAUGUGUAGCGGUGAAAUGCGUAGAUAUAUGGAAGAACACCAGUGGCGAAGGCGGCUGUCUGGUCUGUAACUGACGCUGAGGCUCGAAAGCAUGGGUAGCGAACAGGAUUAGAUACCCUGGUAGUCCAUGCCGUAAACGAUGAAUGCUAGGUGUUGGAGGGUUUCCGCCCUUCAGUGCCGCAGCUAACGCAUUAAGCAUUCCGCCUGGGGAGUACGACCGCAAGGUUGAAACUCAAAGGAAUUGACGGGGGCCCGCACAAGCGGUGGAGCAUGUGGUUUAAUUCGAAGCAACGCGAAGAACCUUACCAGGUCUUGACAUCUUUUGAUCACCUGAGAGAUCAGGUUUCCCCUUCGGGGGCAAAAUGACAGGUGGUGCAUGGUUGUCGUCAGCUCGUGUCGUGAGAUGUUGGGUUAAGUCCCGCAACGAGCGCAACCCUUAUGACUAGUUGCCAGCAUUUAGUUGGGCACUCUAGUAAGACUGCCGGUGACAAACCGGAGGAAGGUGGGGAUGACGUCAAAUCAUCAUGCCCCUUAUGACCUGGGCUACACACGUGCUACAAUGGAUGGUACAACGAGUUGCGAGACCGCGAGGUCAAGCUAAUCUCUUAAAGCCAUUCUCAGUUCGGACUGUAGGCUGCAACUCGCCUACACGAAGUCGGAAUCGCUAGUAAUCGCGGAUCAGCACGCCGCGGUGAAUACGUUCCCGGGCCUUGUACACACCGCCCGUCACACCAUGAGAGUUUGUAACACCCGAAGCCGGUGGCGUAACCCUUUUAGGGAGCGAGCCGUCUAAGGUGGGACAAAUGAUUAGGGUGAAGUCGUAACAAGGUAGCCGUAGGAGAACCUGCGGCUGGAUCACCUCCUU